rnacentral:rRNA from 1 species
AUUGGACGCUGGCGGCAGGCCUAACACAUGCAAGUCGAGCGGCAGCGGGAAAGUAGCUUGCUACUUUUGCCGGCGAGCGGCGGACGGGUGAGUAAUGCCUGGGGAUCUGCCCAGUCGAGGGGGAUAACUACUGGAAACGGUAGCUAAUACCGCAUACGCCCUACGGGGGAAAGCAAGGGACCUUCGGGCCUUGCGCGAUUGGAUGAACCCAGGUGGGAUUAGCUAGUUGGUGAGGUAACGGCUCACCAAGGCGACGAUCCCUAGCUGGUCUGAGAGGAUGAUCAGCCACACUGGAACUGAGACACGGUCCAGACUCCUACGGGAGGCAGCAGUGGGGAAUAUUGCACAAUGGGGGAAACCCUGGUGCAGCCAUGCCGCGUGUGUGAAGAAGGCCUUCGGGUUGUAAAGCACUUUCAGCGAGGAGGAAAGGUCAGUAGCUAAUAUCUGCUGGCUGUGACGUUACUCGCAGAAGAAGCACCGGCUAACUCCGUGCCAGCCGCCGCAGUAA